AAGCUCGUAGUUGAAUUUCGGACUUUGCACUAUUGUCGGCCUCAGUGGUUUGUGCUCUAGCUGCUUUGUCCUUUUUUCUAGUAAGGCUAGAUGCCCUUCGUCGGGUGUCUAGAAGGACUAGGACUUUUACUUUGAAGAAAUUAGAGUGUUUAAGGCAGGCUUAUGCUUGAAUAUAUUAGCAUGGAAUAAUAGAAUAGGACUUUGGUUCUAUUCUGUUGGUUGAAGGACCAAAGUAAUGAUUAAUAGGGUCAGUUGGGGGUAUUUGUAUUUCGAGGUCAGAGGUGAAAUUCUUGGAUUCUCGGAAGACAAACUAAUGCGAAAGCAUCUACCAAGGAUGUUUUCAUUAAUCAAGAACGAAAGUUAGGGGAUCGAAGACGAUCAGAUACCGUCGUAGUCUUAACCAUAAACUAUGCCGACUAGGGAUUGGUGGAUGUUGUUAUUGACGCAUCAGCACCUUAUGAGAAAUCAAAGUUUUU
rnacentral:rRNA from 1 species